GAAAUUUAAAAAUGGUGCAUUGUAUGGACUUUCUACCAUUACCAUUGGGUUUGAAAUGUGAUUUUGAGUGAAAAUAGUGAGCUACAUGUUACUGUUCACGCAUGCAUUUCAUGCAUGAGGUGAAAGUGCAAAUUUGUGCAUGCACCUUAUACUCCCUUAAUCCCAAUUAAACAUGACUUAGUGUUAAUUUCAGAAUCAUUAACAAGGCAUAUAAAAG
rnacentral:lncRNA from 1 species